rnacentral:rRNA from 1 species
UGGAGAAUCUUGCACAAUGGGGGAAACCCUGAUGCAGCAACGCCGCGUGAAGGAAGAAGGCCCUUGGGUCGUAAACUUCUUUUCUAAGGGAAGAUAAUGACGGUACCUUAGGAACAAGUCCCGGCUAACUACGUGCCAGCAGCCGCGGUAAUACGUAGGGGGCGAGCGUUAUCCGGAAUUAUUGGGCGUAAAGAGUACGUAGGUGGUUUCCUAAGCAUGGGGUUUAAGGCAAUGGCUCAACUGUUGUUCGCCCUAUGAACUGGGUUACUUGAGUGCUGGAGGGGAAAGCGGAAUUCCUAGUGUAGCGGUGAAAUGCGUAGAUAUUAGGAGGAACACCAGUGGCGAAGGCGGCUUUCUGGACAGUAACUGACACUGAGGUACGAAAGUGUGGGGAGCAAAC